rnacentral:rRNA from 1 species
GAUGAACGCUGGCGGCGUGCCUAAUACAUGCAAGUAGAACGCUGAAGGAGGAGCUUGCUCUUCUGGAUGAGUUGCGAACGGGUGAGUAACGCGUAGGUAACCUGCCUGGUAGCGGGGGAUAACUAUUGGAAACGAUAGCUAAUACCGCAUGACAACAGUUAUAGCAUGAUAACUGUUUAAAAGGGGCAACUGCUCCACUACCAGAUGGACCUGCGUUGUAUUAGCUAGUUGGUGAGGUAACGGCUCACCAAGGCGACGAUACAUAGCCGACCUGAGAGGGUGAUCGGCCAAACUGGGACUGAGACACGGCCCAGACUCCUACGGGAGGCAGCAGUAGGGAAUCUUCGGCAAUGGACGGAAGUCUGACCGAGCAACGCCGCGUGAGUGAAGAAGGUUUUCGGAUCGUAAAGCUCUGUUGUAAGAGAAGAACGAGUGUGAGAGUGGAAAGUUCACACUGUGACGGUAUCUUACCAGAAAGGGACGGCUAACUACGUG